rnacentral:lncRNA from 1 species
UUGAUUUCUGGGACAAACAUAUUGCUAUGCAAAUACACCCAGAAUAAAUGAAAGAGCCACUCAGACAACCCAUUUUUGCCUCUUCCCUUAGACUUUCAAUUUGACUCCUCUCCAAUGAAAAAGGAUUUAAAGACUGCUUGUGGGGGUCACAGGAGUUCCAGGGGGGCUGUUAGGAAGCCAGCUCUGCAAGGUUGAUGCAGGGAACAAGUUGGCACAUGCUGUUUUAUGUCACGGAAGAGUGACAACCACCAAGAAGCCUUUCUAUCGAGCCAGUUAUCGACCCGUAAGGAGUGAUGAGCACAGGACACGCCUUACCUGAAGCCAGCAUCUCAACACCCAUGUGCAGAAGUCCAGUUAUCUUCAUCCAGGAGACGAGAAGACGAGUUGAGGCUACAAGGCAUGUUUCAGCGGGCUCAUCUAUGCAGCACAGCUUGAGCGUAGUGCAGAUCUUCAGAGCACACAGCUCAAAGGAAGAAGGACUCCCUCUUCCACUCUUCCAUGAUAGCCACAUUCAUGCCUGUAUACGGAGACACUGUUUGUUGCUCAUUACUGGGAGACAUUUCAGCACCCUGCCUUUUCCGCUACGACAAAGUCUACACCUGCUGGAGUAGAGGACAGAGCUGUCCGAGGGCUGCAUCUUGCUGUUUCUCC